ACGCUCGACACCUACAGAGGCAGCAGUUGGGAAUAUUGGACAAUGGAGGGAACUCUGAUCCAGUGACGCCGCGUGAAGGAAGAAGGUCUUCGGAUUGUAAACUUAUUUUAUCAGGGAAGAAAGAAAUGACAGUACCUGAAGAAGAAGGACCGGCUAACUACGUCCCAGCAGCCGCGGUAAUCUGAGCGGGCUGGCAAGGC
rnacentral:rRNA from 1 species